UCCCUCAGCUGUGACGAAAUUGUCACCUACAUUCUUGCUGGUCUUGGUCAUGAUUAUGACCACUUUGUUACUACCAUUUCUGCGCGCAAAGACCCUGUCACUCUGGAGGAAGUUUACUCUCUUCUUCUCAUUACAGAGU